ensembl:lncRNA
AUAUAGACACACAAAUAUAUAUAUAGAUAUAGAUAUAUACGAUGUAUAUUUUUAUAUAUAGCACCUCAAGCUAUUUUGUGGUAACACAGGUAACUUUGUGGGUUUAAUAAAUAUGAAUUGCAUAUUUCACACCUUUUUGUCCAGAGGGGUCAUUUGCCAUAGCAUGUUCAUGGGGAGCUCUGACAGUAUUUCAUACAGUAGUUAGUGCUUUCAUAUUCUCAUGGCGUAUUUAGUAUGUCCUUCUCUUAUCAUAACAUGCAGCAUUAUUACACGAUUUUUGAGCAUAUUGUAGAAAAGUGUCAAGAACAUUGCCUGACAACAAGGCCAUGCUUGAGACGUUAGCUUUUUUGAAAUCAGGGAAGACAGAUAAGACUUAAUGGCAAAAAAAUAAAAAUGACAUGAGAUACUCUCAUGGUAAAAUCACAUUUUUAUCCAUCACAACCAAAGAUAAUCUGUUAUGUAUUUUCCAUAUUUCCAUAUAUACAUAUUUUCCAUAUAUACAUAUUUUUCACUCAGUGCUUCCUUUUUUUUACAAGACAAGUGUAAUAUACUCUCAGUGAUCUUACAGUAAAACAGACACUUUAUUUAUGUGAUAAUCAUCUUAAUGUUUUUUCAUUCAAGGCCAAAUUAUUAAUUUCAGUAUUGGUCAGACUGGUUCACUGUUUAUGAUUAGUCUAGUUUUGUAUUGCUUCUCUAACAUUUAUCAUUGACUAUCUGAGAAUCAGAAGAUAUGAUGCCAUAUUUUUCUCAUUCUGCUCAGAUUAUCAUCCCUCAUGUUGUCAGGUUCAUCUCUGUAGCACAGAUAUGUUAUUAGUGUAUGAAAAGAGCUCUCUUACCCCUGGACAAUCUCCUGUGCAUUUCUUCCUGACGUCAAUCACUCCCCUGAAAAAUACAUGUGUAAAUAUUCCUCAUAUUGUAGUAUUAUUGACAUAUUCGAUAUAUUUGUUUUUACACACACAAAAUAUCUUCAAGGUGUAACCACUGUGAAUAGACCAAAGCAAAUUAACGUUUAAUCUUUUUGCCCUCAUGUAUGUGCUUGUGUAUGUUUCCUUUGUCAAUCUGUAGUCUUUGUAGUCAUGUAUGUAUAUUUUCCUAUUGUAUAUUUCUUGUAAAAAUGUGUUUUUAAUUAAAGAAAGUUGCCUC